GGUGGGUUGGCUCAGUGGUUAGAGCGUAGGUCUCGUAACCGAAAGGUUGCGGGAUCGAAUCCUGCUAGAGGCCG
rnacentral:tRNA from 1 species